rnacentral:rRNA from 1 species
GACGAAGGAUGCAAGCGUUAUCCGGAUUCAUUGGGUUUAAAGGGAGCGUAGGUGGCCUGGUAAGUCAGUGGUGAAAUCUUCUCGCUUAACGAGAAAACUGCCAUUGAUACUGCUAGGCUUGAGUACAGCUGCCGUUGGCGGAAUAUGACAUGUAGUGGUGAAAUACAUAGAGAUGUCAUAGAACACCGAUUGCGAAGGCAGCUAACGAAACUGUAACUGACACUGAGGCUCGAAAGUGCGGGGAUCAAACAGG